GACAGCUGAGCUGGAGCACAUGGGGAGGGGUGUGUGUGGUGUUUGGGUGUGCGAUCGUGCGUGCGUGCGUGCGUGCGAGCGCGUGCGCAUGCCUUUCGGAGUGUAGAAUUUUUCUCCGAGUUCAACUCUUCGGGGACCGGCUGCUGCGAGGGAAUGAAGAUGCUGCCUUAGUCGGUGGCGAAGUUCGGCGCAACAGCUGGCUGGUAGCCAGUGUCUGGCGCUGGACGCGCGCGGUGACUGUACCGUCUUCACGAGUGUCCCGUGUGCCCUCUGCGAUGACACAUCCUGUGUGUGCUCUCUGACUAGCCCGACACUGCCUCAGCCUGGAAGACUUUCGGGUCAGCCUCUGCUUCCCGACCAGAGUGUGCUGUGCCCGAAUUUGUGCCUCAGGCUGGCUAAGAACCAGGUUCAUACAGACACUUCGGCACAUAUCCUACAGAAGAUCCGUCUGGUCCGUACACUUGGGUUCCCCUCAUCCUGUUUCCUCCAUGUCCCGCUGCAGCUCUCGAGUGAUACUGGAGUGUGGUCGCAGACUCCAAGCCAAGAAGGGAAAGGCUUUCGCUGAUGUGUUUUUCCCAAACGGUCAAGGGUUAUUGGUACCUUUCCAGCUCCAGUAAUCAACAUGGUGUCGUACUGAUGUGAGGAUGGACAUAGAGAUCAACGGAAUAGAAUUGAGGGUCCGGAAAUAACCCAUACUACUAUGGUGUAUAUUGAAGACAAGUGAGGACAUAAGCUCUCGCAAAAACUUGUAUACGAAUGUUCCUGGCAACCUUAAUCACAACCGUCGAAGAGUGCAAACAACCCAAAUGCCAGCCAUGUCAUGAGUCUAUCACGUGUGGUGAUACCAUAUCGUAGAAUAACGUUCAGGCAAAAAAGAAUGGAGCCGUGAUACUUGCCACAACAUGGAUGAAUCCUGAACACAUUAAGCUGAGCGAAAGAAGCCAUGCUCAAAGGCUGUUUGAUGUGUGAUCCUAAUUAGUGGAAAUACCCAGAAUGGACAAAUCUGUGGAGACCUGAAGCCCAGUAGCGAAUAUCCAGAGUUCCUGGGAGAGGGGAUUGGGGAGGGACUGCUAAUGGUAAAGGGUUUGUUUUGGAAUUAGAUACUGGUGGCAGUUUACACAACCUUGUGCCUGUACAACUAAAAAGGGUGAAUUUGACGGUACACGACUUGCAGUUCAAUAAAAUGAAAAAGAAUUAAAUGAAAGCAGUACGUACCUUUGAAUAGGUUUUUGGCCAUUUUUAGAAAUGCAGUUGGCUACACCCAAAAGACAUAGUAAGCUGUUCAAAUCUUGUAGCCGGAUGAGGUGUGUCCUUCUCGUCCCUGUUACCCGUAUUUACAGACUGCACGUGCGCACACAUAUACACGUACAGACCCUGGUUGACGUGGGAGUACUUCUUACAUGCUACUCCCCAUUUAAAAAUAUAUAUAAAAGUAAAAUAAAAGCAAAAUAAAGCUCUCUGGCCAGUACAGAUUUGCUCCUCUCAUUCCGUUUCAAGGCCAGUGGGUGCUCCACGGUAUGAUACGAACACGUCAUCUCUCAUUUCCCCUUCCCAAGGGUGUUGACUACUAAGGGCCGUUGAGAGUUUCUUUCCCCCAGAAAUUUCUUCUUGUCAUUAUACACACAGCUCUGUGCCUGUGUGAAUAUUUAAGACCAGUUGGUAGCAGUGGAGAUUGCUGGAUCAGAGGUUCCUUCAGUACAGAAAUGUCUCUGAAGUACUUACUUGUGGACCUGAUACUGUUCUAAAUGCUGGGGAGACAUCCCAGAAGACGCACACGUGCGCUUCGUUUCAUGAACUGAAAUUGUACUGAGGGUGGGGACGGGGUGGAAUCAGAUUUUGAUAGAUGCUGCCACAGAGCCCUGCGAAGUUCUUUUACCAAUUCAUGCUUCCCUCGGGGUGGCUGGGGUAACAGAUGCCCCUUUGCUGGACACCUCAGCACCCCAUUCAUGGAGCAGGGGCUGUUGACAGGAGGCUGAGCGCUUUCUCCCAGGCUGCCUACAAGAUCAUGGAGUCUGCAGCUCGAAUGAUGCCUGUGGGGAUUUUUUUUUUUUUUUUAGAUUAUUUAUUUAUUUAUUUAUUUAUUUGACAGACUGAGAUCACAAGUAAGCAGAGAGGCAGGCAGAGAGAGAGGGGGAAGCAGGCUCCCUGCCGAGCAGAGGGCCCUAUGUGAGGCUUGAUCCCAGGACCCUGAGAUCAUGACCUGAGCCGAAGGCAGAGGCUUUAACCCACUGAGCCACCCAGCCGCCACUCCCCCCACCCCCCGCCACGCCCCCGCCUUCGGGAUUUUAAGAGUAGUGAGACUGAUUGGGGCACAUGGAUGGCUCAGUCGGUUAAGAGCCUGUCUUUGGCUCAGGUCAUGAUCCCAGGGUCCUGGAAUCAAGCCCUGCAUCAGGCUCCCUGCUCAGCAGAGAGCCUCCUUCUGCCUGCCACUCUGCCUACUUGUGCUCUCUCUGUGUCUGUCAAAUUUAUAAAUGAAUGAAUGAAUGAAUAGCAAGACCGAGAGACAACAAUCCACUACCCAUUUAGGUGUAUUCCCAGGUAGGAGGGGAGCUGGGGGUGAUGUGACCUUCUCUGGGCAAAUUACCAGAGUGUGUGGGGACAGGGGAGGGUGAGAGGUUGGUAGAGGAGUAGUGGGCAGUACCUGCCUGUACUGGGAUGUACCACUGAGAGAGCCAGAAGAAGCAGUCCGCUUUGGGAGGGACAAGUGGGAGUGAGGGAGCCUUGUGUUCCCAAACAAACCAUUGUGUGCAGGGUGCAGGGGAGCUCACUACUAUGCAAGGACCUGUGCCUCCCCCAAGGUUGCCAUCACCCCCCUUCUGACCCCAACCUGUCAGCUCUACAGAUUCUAAUCGUGCGGGGACCAGAGAAGGUGACAGUGGGGCACGUGAACGCUUCCCUGAUGGGUGAGCAGGGCAGAGAUGAAGGACACCAGUGGAUCUGAUUGGUCUAGAUGGAAUUGUCUACCAGGAUCUUCCAGGGGAGAGAACUCCCAAUGGCUGCAGGUCGGGGUGUCCUAGAGAGGUUAACGGUGCAUAGGUGGGGCUUCAAAGAGUGGAGGUGGAAGUGGAGCGUUUGAAAACCUGCUGUGCAACCUCAGGCUGCUCAUUCACCAAAAAAGGCUGAAGAUGCUGGCCAGGUCGGUGAGAUCACUGGCUUUUAUUCUGUCCUCUAGUCUGUCUUCCAGUUAGGUUUUUAAACAGUGGAUACUGGAUCCCACAAUAUGGAUACCAGUGCCCAAUAAGCAGUCAUGAAAUCUUUCUCCGGUGUCCCGUUAUGUGCCCAGCAGACUACAUGCAGGUCCUGGAUGGGCAGAGAUCUUUCAGAGACAUAUUCAUGACAUUCUCCAGACCAGGUUUCUCCAGGGAAUCCGACAGUGACCCACUCAGCCCAAAGAAGUGAACACUUAAAUGAUGGGAUUUUAAGCAGGAGAUGUCUGGGUGAGAGUAGGUAAGGAAGACAUAGGCGGGUUCUCAAGUCAGUGAACUUCUCACCAGUCCUGACUGUAUUCACACCUGAGUCUGAAAGGCUGCAUAUGUAAGACUGGGUUCCUGUGUUCCCCGGUUCCCGGGGGAAGUGGCCUCAGAGCUGGGCCAGUGUGUGUGUCCCCUGAGGAGGACAGGGUGCACCAGUUGGGCCCACAUUAGGCUCUGUCCCCAAAUCCCACAGCCUCACAGUAGAUACAUGCCCAUGAGCAAAUAGCCCUGCUCUGUUGUUGGCCUCAUGGGGCGAGAAGAGGGGGAAAUGCAUGCGCCUCACAGUUUGCACACCCUCAUGCCACCUUUCCCUUUAAAGCAGAAUUAGGGAUUGAGAGGAGGGGACAGCUUUCCUCUUUGGGGAGAUGAUAAGGUGGAGGGGUGGGUGGAGCAGGGGCACCCCUCAGUGGUCAGGUGCGUGGUCUGUGGCACGUGUACCUGGCAGGGCAGUGUGAACCCCUUCACCAUCUCCUUCCCCCACUCAUGUUCACUGGCUUGCAAAGGAUCUGCUGGCUGAAGGUGUCCCUUCUGUUCGGGGCUCCGGUGGACACUGGGAAAACCAGGUGGCUGCAAUGCCUGCAAGGGUUAGGAGCUGAGAAGGCUGAAGGGAGCACUGUGUUCAGGGUGAAUGAGCCGCCGGCCAGACCUUCCUGAAGGCAGGGUGGCGGGGACCGGACCUACCCUGAGCAGCAUGGGACUCUCCUGCUCCACCUUCCACAGCUUUCGCUCCUCAGCAGGUGGGCUCUGGGACCUUAAGGACAGUGUGAGUCUCCUGAGUAUGGUAUGAACACUGCCAACCUAGACGAUAUCCCUAUUUUGAUGGGCGGAGGGCUCCACUGUGUGUCAAGCCUGGGGGGGGCGGGGGGGCUGCUGCCCUCCUGGGCGUGGCCUGGGCCUAGUGCAGCUUUGUCUUUGUCCAGAAACAGCCAACAAUGGCAAAACCUGUGAGUCACCCGUCCUCUGGAAAAGGAGGUUCCUCGGGUGCCUGGACGGGCCCACUAGGAUAGGGGCUAAUACCCUGGAGACAGCUGUGUUCCUGAAAGGCUCUCUGUAAUUCUGCCUUUUGGUCUCCGUGUCUCACUGGUGGGGCUGGGUGAGACCUCAUUGUGGCUCUCGUUGACAUCUGUCUUGUAUGGGGUGAAUUUUUGUAUUGAGGAGCAGGAUGUCAUUUCUCUGAGCUGGUUUGGGAUCUGUCCAGGAUUUGAGAUGUCUUGAGCUGUGUGAGGGUGUGCCGGCAUGUGAGAUCACUGAGCUGUGGAGUGCUGUGUGUCCCAAGUGAGAGUUCUCUGGGCUAUUUAGGGCUUCCUCCCAGCGUGUGAGGUAUUUGACCUGUUUGGGGUGCAGGGUGCAGCAUGGAAGGUGUUUGGGGCUGUUGCCAUGCAGUACUUUAGGAAUUAGGGUUGGAGCUCUCCUGACAGUGUGUGUCGAGGUUGGCAUAUUUGAGCACCUGGGGGUCCAGUACUCUAGGUUGUGAGAUCAAAAAGGUUAUUUGUCACAGGACAGGGGGUGUCCGAGUAAGCUCUGUGUUCACAGUACAGGUGCUCUGUGCUGUUUGUGCGUCUGCAUGCAGGGUUGUGAGCUCUGUGGUUGUGUGACAUGCAGGGUGUGUGGUCUGUGAGCUAUUUAACGUUCUAUGUCGCAGGUUGUUAGGUUCCUAAAAUGUAUGUGGGUCUGUAUUUUAGAAUUGAUUUGUCUUUGAGCUGUUUCUUGUCUCUCUCCUCAUUUCUUGAGUUUCCAGGAAUUUGAGUUCGGUGCCUUGUUUAAUCUUGUGUGUCCACUGCAUUGCAGUCUCCUCGCUGCCCUUUCCUGGGUCUGGAGCUCAUUCUCUCCAGCUCCCAACAACCUGGCUUUCUUAUCUAGGCCAGUGAGUCUGUGUGGCUGGCUUCCCUCGAUGUGUUAUUGGGAUCGUUUGGGUUUUGCUAGCUGUAGUGUGAGGUCCAUGAGGUAUUUGGGAGUCUGUGUCCAGGUUGUGAUGCUUCCGAGCUGGGGGGGGGAGGGAUAUUCCGGUCCCAGGGUGAGGUCUCCUAUGUCUGUGGUGCUGUGUUGUAGGCAUUGAAACUUCUGACCACGUGGCUGUUCUAACAGAGACUUUGUCACGUACCAAGUUCAGACAUGAGGUGUUUGUGACCUCUGCCCAGUGUUUCAGUCUGACAGCUGUCCAGAAAGACGGAGCUCGAUCUGAAUGAACCGCCGGGACUCAUCCAUUCAGCUCCCAGUAACCUGGCUUCUCGACCAUUGACUCCCUGUGGUGUGCUUCCCUCAGACCCUUCCCUAGGGUUGGGUUCUCCCAAUCCAGAGCUGUAACUUACCUAUUUCAUGCAAAUCUCAAGUACAGUUUGAAAUGGUAGUCAGUAUCCAACUAAAAACACCAGAACCAGUGCUUCCCUAAAGAUACUCUUCAUAAGACAUUUUACUGAAUCCCAAGAGGUUCCAGGUAGGGACCCUGCUGCCCUUUUGAUAGGGAGUUGUGGGAAAUUUCCUUAAAAUACGGGAUAUAUUUUUUUAAUCCUUUCUCUUGCUGGUACCUUGAGAGGCUCAGGCAAGAAAGGCAUUCAAUUUUACGUUUUUGACCAAACAAGCAAAACAACCCUAAAACACACACACACACACCACCCAGUACACCCAGUAGUAAAUAUAAGGAAAUUGUAUUGGAAAUGUAAAUGGACUCCUGUGAUUAAUUAUAAAACUAAAUUUCUGAUCACAUUAGAUGUCUGUCAGGAUUGGCUGUAUUCCAGCUGACAGGACAACCAAAGAUGCCUUCUUUCUCCAGAUCUCAUAGGCUGCAGCUUAUAAUCUGAUUACUGCGGUCUAAGUAAUUGUAACCAGUGUAGGAAUCACAGGGCCUAUUAAAAGCACGUCUUUUCCUGUGUCACAUCAUGACACCUCUGCGUGUGUGUGUGUGUCUCUCCCCCGUCCCCCCACGCCCCUCCUCCUAGACAGACUUUCUCGGGAAAUACAGGAGGCACUACCAAGGAAACAGACUCUGACCCUUGGAACACAGACUGGAGCCCAGUGAUGUCCCAGGCUCUAGCAAUGCCCAUUAGAAGUCUCAGUCUCAUCUCCGCUAAAAAUGGCAACCUAAUUAGAGAAAAGAGAAAAACAGCUAUUCUUUCAGACAGCAACCGGUCGCGCAUGGCUCGGAAAACGCUAGUCCUGAGACACUAAUGUGCGCACGGCCUGUUGAGGGAGAUUCUCCCUCUCUCGCUCUCAGGCCCUCGCUUUUGCUCGUUCCUUCCCAGGAUCAGGUUCCCACCACCCCGCGGCUAGCACACCCCCUCGGUUCCUCAGCCCAGGCCGUGAAGCACACCUUCCAAAAAUGGAAGGGCUAAGACUAAGACCACCGAGAGGAAAAGUCCUCCCGGCUUCCUAGGCCGACCAGCCACGCGCGUGUGCGCGCGCGCACACACCAGGAGAGGAGGGGCUGCGUGACGUCAUAGGAAUGGGCCCAGGGGCCCGAGGCCGGGUGCUUUUUAUCCUUUCUCGGGCUGGGCGGGGCCGGGCGGGGAGGGAGCCGGGAGGUCUGGGGGCACAGUGGGCGCAUCUCUGUGGACCGCGGCUUGGGUGCCUGGAAACCCUGAUGAGAGCGCCGGGGGUGGUGGGAGGGUUGAGCCCGCCCCCAUGGCGGCGCAUCAGAGUGACUGCACAGGACGAGUACUUCCUGAGAUCCCCGGGAGCGUUUCCGGGGGCUGCAGGUCACGUCGCAGACGACGCACGUCGUUCUCAGCUGGGUGGGCUGACCAGGGAGGGGCUUCUCUGUGACAGCCUGUUUAGGUCCCUUGCAGGGGUCACACGCGAGAUCUGUGUUACAAACUUUUUGUUUUCUUACUAGGGGUUUUGCGUAGGCUGGGCAUGCACGCGGGCAAAGGCAAAAGCAAAACUAGGAGAGAGCUUGUCUAUUCAAGCUCUGGCAAUCUGGAGAGCACCCCAUCUGAAGAUCAGUGUGUGUCGGCAGGGUGGUUUUGUCUUUUCUUCAUAGGGAUAAGUAGACACGUUACAGUGGAGAGAUUUAAGGUAGGGGUGUUUCUGCAUUCAGGACUAGUCUCCGUCUGUGGACCAGGAAAUGUUUCUCUCCGUAUCUAGCUAGUUUCGGGAGGAUUGACCUUUCUAAGUCUCAGUGGCUGUUCCUGAGACAGCAGGAAGCUGGGGGACACUGUCUGGCCCUUCAGCCAGAAGAGGAAGGUCCGUGUUUGGCCUUCUCACAUCUAAACCCGAGUCGCCCAAGAGACUGAUGGUGGGUAUGACAAAGAGUGAACAGCAAGCCUUCUCAAAGAUAGAAGGGGCAAGAGUGGUCCUUCCGGGUCAGCCAUUUCUGCACGGCGAAAGCCUGUGGAGAUUUCUUUCCUGUGGCUUUUGUCAUGGCUCAGGUGAAGUUCAGCGUUGUCUGUGGGGUAAAAAUGCGCUUGCCCUCUUUUGUGCCUGUCCAAGCAGAUAUCCAGAUAAGCAGAGAUUCUCUUUUUAACUCUGGAAGUAAUCGAUACCUGACGAGCACUUCAUGGUUUUUGAAAAGUACUGUUUUUCCUGAUCUAAGUGAAGGAAGCAGAAUGAGUCAUUAUCCCAGAAUAAGAUCAUUGUCCUCAUCUUACUAGUGAGGAAACUGACCACAGAGAGGUUCCGUUAUCUGCCCAAAGUCACACAGGGAGUAAGUGGCGGGGCCCUGAUUUCAAAUCUUGGUAUGGAUGGCUUCAUCACCUGUCGGCCAUGCAGGAACAUAGUGUUGGUUUCCAGAUCCACACAUUUGGUUCUGUCCUCUCUGAAACUACACACCUCCUGAGACAACUGACAGGCCUACAGACAGAUUGCACUCAAAAAGUGCUAGCCAAUCUCUGGGACACUGGGGAUGACCUGACGGGGAAGAGAAGUGUUGGAGGAAGUAGGUCCCAAAGGCUCACCACGAUCCCUGAGGGAGAGCCUACCAGAGGAAGACUGAAGGGCCUGAAAGGGACUUGUGUUUCUGAGACGGGCUGAUGGGCUAACCUAUGGCUCGUGUAUUCAGGACGUUGCUUUGAAUUGUAUUUUUUUUCUUUUAGCACUGACAAUCCGUGCUGCGUGUUGAAAACACACAAGGCAGUUAAGUAAAACCAACCAAUAUAUGGAUAGGUAGAGAGAAUCCCGUUUGACCCAAGGAGUACCUACCUGACUGUCAAACAGCUCUGUGCUGUGCAAAGGAAGAGCAUUUUCUUAGACUGAAUGAAACAAAUUAGCUCUUUUUCCUAAUUUUUAGUAUCCUUCCCUUCCAGAUGAAACAACUCAGGCACAGAGAAGCUGGGUCAGCUCCCCCAAGUAUUUGAGGUACUAAGUGGUUGAGUGCAGAGGCAGAGAAUACACAACAUGUCCAGAACUGACUGCGUCCACCCCCAUUCCCCAUACAUCUGCAUCUCCUCCGGUGUUGCCAAACUCAGUGAAAAGCAGCCUUCAUACCCAGCUGCUUGGGCCAGCGAUCCUUAAACCCAUCCUUCCUCGGGCAGCUGGGUGGCUCAGUCAGUUAAGCACUGCCUUCGGCUCAGGUCAUGAUCUCCGGGUCCUGGGAGUCCUGUCCCGCAUCGGGCUCCUUGCUCAGCGGGGUGUCUGCUUCUCCUUCUACCCUUCCCCUCACUCACGUUCUCUCUCUCACGCUGUCUCUCUCAAAUAAAAUAUUUUUUUUUUCUUUUUUAAAAAUCCCUCCUUCCUUGCUGCCUCUCUCACUAUCCCUCAGUUACUAAGGCCUGUCAAUCCAACUUUCUCCAUCCUUCUAAAUAAGAUCUUGACACUUCUUCCAUCACUACGGUUCGAUCCCUAGUCCAGAUGACCCUCUUCUGUGCUUGAUAAUCACCACCAAUCUUGACCCUUGGCCACAAGUGUUUUCAUCCCACUGCCUGAGGGACCCUUCUUAAAUCUUAAUCUGGUCUUGUCUACCCUGCUCAAAACUCUGCAGGGGCAUCCUGCUGUUUUUAAGAUCACAUCUGCCUCUUGGACUCGGCACAGCAGGCCUUGCCUACCCUCAAAUGCCUCAUCUUCAGCACACCACCUCCUGCUCCACCCCAUGCCACAUUUCCAGCCCCCUUCCACUUCUUUCUGUUUAGCAGGUGGCCAGUGAACCCAGACGCUCUCUCUUCUCUCUACCUCUCAUUUCCCCAGCCCCACGCAUGCCAUCCCCUGUGGAUCGAGGAUUCACUUCACUUGCCUGAUUCCUACCUAUGUUCAGCUGGCAGGUUCAGUAGAGGGCAAUCUCCACUUAACGCGAGGAGUACCUGGAUGAAGAGGCACUGUUCACAGAACUUUGUGCUGAAAAGAAGUGAUGGAGAUUCCAUUAUAAAUAACCCCAAAUGGACAGAGGUUUUACUCUGGACCACAGUGAGCUAUUUGGAAAUGCAGUCUGACGGCAAUUUGGCCUUUCUGGAAAAGGCCUCCUUGCUUAGAGUAGGAUUACACUCGGCAAAGAUCUCACCUCAUGUUACAUGGAGCCUUGGAUCCACGUGACUCGGACUUUGGAAUGUGGCCCACAUUUUCCAGUGUGAAGGGGUCCUUCCUUCCGGUGAGGAGGGAUAAGCAGAAACAUGGGAAGAAUAUGUCAUUAGGGCACCUGUGACCCAGGACAUUAAGCAGGCCUGCAGCCACCUCCCGUGGACUUUGUUUUGAUGUGCUAGUUUUUCAGUGGAAGUUGCAGUCUGAGUUUUCUGUUGGAACAAGAGAAAGUAUAUGAACUGAUCUUUCCUUUACAAGGGGUUUGAUUAAUUUGUUCCUGUGGCGAUGGAGGAAGCAAGGAUUAGCUGCCUGCUCCUAUGGGAACUCUCCAAGGGAGUCUGACAGUGCCUUUGUAUGAGUCCCUAGGGGCCCCCACCAGGUGCCCGGAAGCCCUAGAGGAAACUAUGUCGGUCCCUCGAGCAUCCAGUGGAGAGUGUGAACCCACCACUGGUUUCUCCCUGCCAUAGGCUCAACUCAGCUACAAGGAUUAGCCGCAUUCACUACAACCCCUGUAAGCACAGCACACCUGAGCAUGAAAAGAAGUGUGUGCCUUGGACAAGACAAAAGGUGGAACCACCAGUGCAACCAGUACUGCCCCAACUCUCAGCCCCGGCCAGAGGGUGGGACUACACUCCCAGGGGCCUGGCCUACUUUCCUCCAUUGCUGACAUGUCUCUAACACAGGGAUGGUGUGAUUGCCUCUUCCCGCAGCCUAGGUCUUGAGGAGCCAAGGUGUGCGUGGUAGAUACAGUGUGAUUACCCAGGGACUCGGGUAAGUCUGAAAGC